CACGUAGGGACCAAGCGUUGUCCGGAUUUAUUGGGCGUAAAGAGCUCGUAGGCGGUUCCGUAAGUCGGGUGUGAAAACUCUGGGCUUAACCCAGAGCCUGCAUCUGAUACUGCGGUGACUAGAGUCCGGUAGGGGAGUGGGGAAUUCCUAGUGUAGCGGUGAAAUGCGCAGAUAUUAGGAGGAACACCGGUGGCGAAGGCGCCACUCUGGGCCGGUACUGACGCUGAGGAGCGAAAGCGUGGGUAGCAAACAGG
rnacentral:rRNA from 1 species